UGGGAAUUUGGACGAAUUGGGCGAAAGCCUGAUCCAGCAAUGCCGCGUGUGUGAAGAAGGCCUUCGGGUUGUAAAGCACUUUUGUCCGGAAAGAAAUCCUUGGCUCUAAUACAGUCGGGGGAUGACGGUACCGGAAGAAUAAGCACCGGCUAACUACGUGCCAGCAGCCGCGGUAAUACGUAGGGUGCAAGCGUUAAUCGGAAUUACUGGGCGUAAAGCGUGCGCAGGCGGUUUGCUAAGACCGAUGUGAAAUCCCCGGGCUCAACCUGGGAACUGCAUUGGUGACUGGCAGGCUAGAGUAUGGCAGAGGGGGGUAGAAUUCCACGUGUAGCAGUGAAAUGCGUAGAGAUGUGGAGGAAUACCGAUGGCGAAGGCAGCCCCCUGGCAAGUACUGACGCUCAUGCACGAAAGCGUGGGGAGCAAAC
rnacentral:rRNA from 1 species